rnacentral:rRNA from 1 species
UACGUAGGGUGCAAGCGUUGUCCGGAAUUAUUGGGCGUAAAGAGCUCGUAGGCGGUCUGUUGCGUCUGCUGUGAAAACUCGGGGCUUAACCCCGAGCCUGCAGUGGAUACGGGCAGACUAGAGGUAGGUAGGGGAGAAUGGAAUUCCCGGUGUAGCGGUGAAAUGCGUAGAGAUCCGGAGGAACACCGAAGGCGAAGGCAGUGUCCUGGCGAGUAUCCUGACGCUGAGGUGCGAAAGCCAGGGGAGCGAACGGG